GCCCAACACACAAAACAAGCGGUGAGUGCUUUGGGGUGGGGUGACUGCGUACCUUUUGUAUAAUGGGUCAGCGACUUAUAUUCUGUAGCAAGGUUAACCGUAUAGGGGAGCCGAAGGGAAACCGAGUCUUAACUGGGCGUUAAGUUGCAGGGUAUAGACCCGAAACCCGGUGAUCUAGCCAUGGGCAGGUUGAAGGUUGGGUAACACUAACUGGAGGACCGAACCGACUAAUGUUGAAAAAUUAGCGGAUGACUUGUGGCUGGGGGUGAAAGGCCAAUCAAACCGGGAGAUAGCUGGUUCUCCCCGAAAGCUAUUUAGGUAGCGCCUCGUGAACUCAUCUUCGGGGGUAGAGCACUGUUUCGGCUAGGGGGUCAUCCCGACUUACCAACCCGAUGCAAACUGCGAAUACCGAAGAAUGUUAUCACGGGAGACACACGGCGGGUGCUAACGUCCGUCGUGAAGAGGGAAACAACCCAGACCGCCAGCUAAGGUCCCAAAGUCACAGUUAAGUGGGAAACGAUGUGGGAAGGCUCAGACAGCCAGGAUGUUGGCUUAGAAGCAGCCAUCAUUUAAAGAAAGCGUAAUAGCUCACUGGUCGAGUCGGCCUGCGCGGAAGAUGUAACGGGGCUAAACUGUGCACCGAAGCUGCGGCAGCGACGCUUAUGCGUUGUUGGGUAGGGGAGCGUUCUGUAAGCCUGCGAAGGUGUCCUGUGAGGGAUGCUGGAGGUAUCAGAAGUGCGAAUGCUGACAUAAGUAACGAUAAUGCGGGUGAAAAGCCCGCUCGCCGGAAGACCAAGGGUUCCUGUCCAACGUUAAUCGGGGCAGGGUGAGUCGACCCCUAAGGCGAGGCCGAAAGGCGUAGUCGAUGGGAAACGGGUUAAUAUUCCCGUACUUGGUGUUACUGCGAAGGGGGGACGGAGAAGGCUAUGUUGGCCGGGCGACGGUUGUCCCGGUUUAAGCGUGUAGGCUGGUUUUCCAGGCAAAUCCGGAAAAUCAAGGCUG
rnacentral:rRNA from 1 species